rnacentral:rRNA from 1 species
UACGUAGGGUGCAAGCGUUGUCCGGAAUUAUUGGGCGUAAAGAGCUCGUAGGCGGUCUGUUGCGUCGGCUGUGAAAACCCGGGGCUCAACUCCGGGCCUGCAUUCGAUACGGGCAGACUAGAGUUCGGUAGGGGAGACUGGAAUUCCUGGUGUAGCGGUGGAAUGCGCAGAUAUCAGGAGGAACACCGGUGGCGAAGGCGGGUCUCUGGGCAGUAACUGACGCUGAGGAGCGAAAGCGUGGGGAGCGAACAGG